rnacentral:rRNA from 1 species
UGACGAGGGUGCAAGCGUUGUCCGGAAUUACUUGGGCGUAAAGAGCUUGUAGGCGGUUUGUCGCGUCUGCCGUGAAAGCCCAGGGCUUAACCCUGGGUCUGCGGUGGGUACGGGCAGACUAGGGUGUGGUAGGGGAGACUGGAAUUCCUGGUGUAGCGGUGAAAUGCGUAGAUAUCGUAAGGAAGACCAGUGGCGAAGGCGGAUCUCUGGACAGCUACUGACACUGAGGCACGAAGGCCAGGGGAGCAAACGGG